CCUACGGGUGGCUGCAGUGAGGAAUAUUGGUCAAUGGGCGUAAGCCUGAACCAGCCAAGUCGCGUGAGGGAUGAAGGUUCUAUGGAUCGUAAACCUCUUUUAUAAGGGAAUAAAGUGUGGGACGUGUCCUGUUUUGUAUGUACCUUAUGAAUAAGGAUCGGCUAACUCCGUGCCAGCAGCCGCGGUAAUACGGAGGAUUCGAGCGUUAUCCGGAUUUAUUGGGUUUAAAGGGUGCGUAGGCGGGCUUUUAAGUCAGCGGUGAAAUUCUGUGGCUCAACCAUAGAAUUGCCUUUGAAACUGGGAGGCUAGAGUGUGGUUGAGGCAGGCGGAAUGCGUGGUGUAGCGGUGAAAUGCUUAGAUAUCACGCAGAACCCCGAUUGCGAAGGCAGCCUGCCAAGCCAUGACUGACGCUGAGGCACGAAAGCGUGGGGAGCAAACAGGAUUAGAUACCCGUGUAGUC
rnacentral:rRNA from 1 species